UACGUAGGUGGCGAGCGUUGUCCGGAUUUAUUGGGUUUAAAGGGUGCGUAGGCGGUCCUAUAAGUCAGUGGUGAAAUAUCGCAGCUCAACUGUGAGGGCGCCAUUGAUACUGUAGGACUUGAGUGAAUUUGAGGUAGGCGGAAUUGACGGUGUAGCGGUGAAAUGCUUAGAUAUCGUCAAGAACACCGAUAGUGAAGACAGCUUACCAAGCUUCAACUGACGCUGAGGCACGAAAGUGUGGGGAUCAAACAGG
rnacentral:rRNA from 1 species